rnacentral:rRNA from 1 species
UACGUAGGGGGCAAGCGUUGUCCGGAUUUAUUGGGCGUAAAGAGCGUGUAGGCGGUUAUACAGGUCCGCUGUGAAAACUCGAGGCUCAACCUCGAGACGUCGGUUGAAACCGUAUGGCUAGAGUCCGGAAGAGGAGAGUGGAAUUCCCGGUGUAGCGGUGAAAUGCGCAGAUAUCGGGAAGAACACCCGUGGCGAAGGCGGCUCUCUGGGACGGUACUGACGCUGAGACGCGAAAGCGUGGGGAGCGAACAGG